AUGGUCUUUUGUUUAUAUAAAAGAUUUGACCUGCCCAAUGAUUUUAUGUUUAAUGGCUGCAGUAUUUUGACUGUACAAAGGUAGCAUAAUCAUUUGUCUUUUAAUUGAAGUCUAGAAUGAAUGGUUUGAUGAAAAAUAUAUUUUCUUUAUUUUAUAUUAAAAAUUUAAUUUUUUAGUUAAAAAGCUAAAAUAAUUUUAUAGGACGAGAAGACCCUAUAGAACUUUAUUUUUAAUUUUAUGGUUUUAAUUUAGGAUAUAUUUUAAGAAUAUAAAUAUUGAAUUUUGUUGGGGUGACAGAAAAAAUAUAAUAACUUUUUCUAUUUUUUUCACUAUUAUUGAAUAUUUGAUCCUUUUUUAGGGAUAGGAAGAUUAAGUUACCUUAGGGAUAACAGCGUUAUUGUUUUAGAGAGUUCAUAUCGAUAAAACAGUUUGCGACCUCGAUGUUGGAUUAUAAUAAGAUAUGGAGGCAGAAUAUUAUAUUCUAGGUCUGUUCGACCUUUAAAUUUUUACAUGAUCU
rnacentral:rRNA from 1 species